GAUGAAUGCUGGCGGCGUGCUUAACACAUGCAAGUCGAGCGGCAGCGCGAGUAGUUUACUACUUGGCGGCGAGCGGCGGACGGCUGAGUAGCGCGUAGGAACGUGCCCCAAAGUGAGGAAUAACUGCCCGAAAGGGUGGCUAAUGCCGCAUAUGAUCUUCGGAUUAAAGGAUUUAUCCGCUUUGGGAGCGGCCUGCGUAUGAUUAGGUAGUUGGUGAGGUAAUGGCUCACCAAGCCGACGAUCAUUAGCUGGUCUGAGAGGAUGACCAGCCAGACUGGAACUGAGACACGGUCCAGACUCCUACGGGAGGCAGCAGUGAGGAAUCUUCCACAAUGGGCGAAAGCCUGAUGGAGCAACGCCGCGUGCAGGAUGAAGGCCUUCGGGUUGUAAACUGCUUUUAUAAGUGAAGAAUAUGACGGUAACUUAUGAAUAAGCACCGGCUAACUACGUGCCAGCAGCCGCAGUAA
rnacentral:rRNA from 1 species